GUGCUUGUCCUAAGGUAUAAAUAACUUUAUAUUGUGAAACUGCGAAUGGCUCAUUAAAUCAGUUAUGAUCUACGUGACAAAUUCUUUACUACUUGGAUAACCGUGGUAAUUCUAGAGCUAAUACAUGCAAAAAAGCCCUGACUUACGAAGGGGUGCACUUAUUAGAUAAAACCAACGCGGGGUAAAACCUGUUUCUUGGUGAAUCAUAAUAAUUAAGCGGAUCGCAUGGCCUUGUGCCGGCGACGGUCCACUCGAUUUUCUGCCCUAUCAUGGUUGAGAUUGUAAGAUAGAGGCUUACAAUGCCUACAACGGGUAACGGGGAAUUAGGGUUCGAUUCCGGAGAGGGAGCCUGAGAAACGGCUACCACAUCCAAGGAAGGCAGCAGGCGCGCAAAUUACCCAAUCCCGACACGGGGAGGUAGUGACAAUACAUAACAAUGCAGGGCCUUUAAGGUCUUGCAAUUGGAAUGAGUACAAUUUAAAUCCCUUAACGAGGAUCAAUUGGAGGGCAAGUCUGGUGCCAGCAGCCGCGGUAAUUCCAGCUCCAAUAGCGUAUAUUAAAGUUGUUGCAGUUAAAACGUCCGUAGUCAAACUUUAGUCUUACCGGCGUAGUGGCCUGGUCUUCAUUGACCAAGCUCAUUGCUGCCGGAGACUCCAUGUCCAUUGACUCCUAGUCCUCGUGGCUAGGGUUUUCUGGACAAUUACCAUGAGCAAAUCAGAGUGUUUAAAGCAGGCUUUUAAGCUUGAAUGUGUUAGCAUGGAAUAAUGAAAUAUGACUUUAGUCCUAUUUUCGUUGGUUUAGGUACUUCAGUAAUGAUGAAUAGAAACGGUUAGGGGCAUUUGUAUUUGGUCGCUAGAGGUGAAAUUCUUGGAUUGACCGAAGACAAACUACUGCGAAAGCAUUUGACCCGGGACGUUUUCAUUGAUCAAGGUCUAAAGUUAAGGGAUCGAAGACGAUUAGAUACCGUCGUAGUCUUAACCACAAACUAUGCCGACUAGAGAUUGGGCGUGUUUAUUAUGACUCGCUCAGCAUCUUAGCGAAAGUAAAGUUUUUGGGUUCUGGGGGGAGUAUGGGACGCAAGGCUGAAACUUAAAGGAAUUGACGGAAGGGCACCACCAGGAGUGGAGCCUGCGGCUUAAUUUGACUCAACACGGGGAAACUCACCAGGUCCAGACAUAGUAAGGAUUGACAGAUUGAAAGCUCUUUCUAGAUUCUAUGGGUGGUGGUGCAUGGCCGUUCUUAGUUCGUGGAGUGAUUUGUCUGGUUAAUUCCGAUAACGAACGAGACCUUAUUCUGCUAAUUAGACAGGCUAACUCUUUCGGGUUGGUUUAUAUUUAAUAUUUAACUGGCUUCACAGAGAGACUAUCGGUACUACGA
rnacentral:rRNA from 1 species